AGAAAUAUGUCUGAUAAUAGAGUUACUUUGAUAGAGUAAACCAUAGAGGUUUGAGUCCUCUUAUUUCUA
rnacentral:tRNA from 1 species